GUGCUCCACUGGCAACUUCUCAUUCUUAGAAUACUCUCAUGUUCUACCCCUCAUACUCCAGCCCAGAUCAAAGGCUACUUCAUCCAAAAGCCCUUUUGGAAGACCUUGACUCUCCAGGAAGAACAGGCUGCAGGUGUCUUGUUACAGAGGUUCUUGCCCUACAAAGUAAUUUGAACCUUUUCUCAAAACUGUAUGAAAAACGGAACUGCAACAUGGGACUGCUGGCUGCCUUAAACGACGAUUGGGAGAUGAUGUGCCUUCCUACUGAUGAGGAUGCCCUUUGUACCACUCUCCUCCUUGUCUCUUCCUUGGAAAUGUACAAGGAGCUUCAACAAUUACUGACAAAUGGUAGGGGUCGCUGUCCCCCUCAGUUGCCUCUGGGUUUUGUGACCUCACAGAAGCCAGCUCACCUUUCUGGGUCCCACAGCCUCAUCGUUAGAGACGAUUGGACCCCAGCCACUUUGCCCUGCCAGCUAGCACUGGAAGUUCCCAUCAGAGGCCAUUACAACACAGCUCAAUGGAGCCUUCUGCCGCACCUCCUGCAGCUUCCAGAAAGCACGGAUUCUCCAUCAAACCAGCCCAGCAAAUCUGAUUUUCUGCUCCCUGCUUAAUAGUCUAAUUUGCCUCCCACAUGCUCUUACAGAUGGCCCAGUGAAAAGACCACACGUGUCUGAGGCUCCAAGUCUUGGCAAUGAGAGAAACCCCACUGUUCUAUAGAACAGGCAGAGAGAGCAUCGGAGUUGGGGGGCUGCCCAUCAUGGUGGUGUUUCCCAGACUCCACGUACAAGGUCUAGGUUCCAGUUACUUCCAAGCAGUGUUGUGAAAUCAGGGAUCCUGUCACCCUUAGUGUACCUGGAUGGAAAAGGUUUUCAGAAGCUCCAGGCUUGAAGAGGGCUUUUUUUUUUUUUUUUUUUUUUUAAAUUGGGCUUUCAAACAUUAAGUUUUUGAUUUUUUUUUUUUUUUUUCAAAUUGGGCAUUCAGAACUUAAGCUUGUGCCUCUGGUUAGACUCCAAGAGUUGUUACAAACUGUAGACUGUGAAAGCCAAGCAAAGGUCUCAAAUAUCCUGAAGUGGGCCUUUGAUGCCACGCUUAGCACUGGUGGAAAUCCUCCUGGAUGCCAGGGUUUUACAGCUCCAGUGGCUACUCGUCUGUACUCCCCACCCCCAUCCUCAAUCUCCUGACUCUUGAAAUGACGCUGCCUCAGAUCCAAUAAAGCCAAGCAGGACCUCUUCCCAUUUACCCCACUACCAUGUGCCAGAGGCGAAUCUUAUGGCUCUAAUCCUCCUCUGAGGCCCGGCUUGCAGAGCUGCAGAAGCCAGGUACUGGGCUAUUGGGAGGCAAAGUGGGUAGGGCAUUCCCUUCUGGCUCCAACAGGACAGAAGAGAUGCACUGCCAGCACUGCCUAAUAGAAACUGGAAAACAACUUCCCAUGGAAAUAUCUGCAUGGUGAUUCAAUUCUAUCUUAUCCAAUAUGAAGGAAUAAAAAGGCUACAGGUGAAUAAACCAGAGGUUGGAACUAAAUGACUCAUUCAUAGCCACAUAGGUAGCAAAUGAGAGAGCUGAAGCCACAGCCAAGGCUCCCAGCUCCAGCUCCAUUACAGAAAGGCUAAGUGGGCUUUUACUUACUGUGGGGAGCUUGCAAUCUAUUUACAGCAUGGUUUCUACCACAGAGUAUGUUCUGAGUUCCAAAUCUCCACACUACUGAGAAAAUCUGGAGCAUGCUCAUCCUAAAUUGAAGACUAGCAGCUCUUUAGAAGGUCUGUUGGUCUCGGCACUUACUGGAGGGAUCCGACCUUGAGCCUGGAGGUUCUGCCAACAGAAGGACUCUGAUGUUAAAGGAAGCCCAGGAAUUACUGGGGAGAAGAACCUCUUUUAAUCUCUCAAGGCCAAGCUUGGAUUGCCUUUUUCUCACCACACUACUGCUAAGGGAAAAAAGCUGAGUAUGACAGUCACUAUGAUUUUGGAGAGAAACUUCCAUGAGCUCAUGACUUCGAGCACCCAUUGACUCAGCCUUCAGUGAAGGCCUGCUGACACCACACUGCUUCCCGGGGUGAUGAUGGUGACACUAUUCCCACUUCUUGUCCCUUGCCGAGAUGUUCAUGGGCCAAAAUGUAAAUUCAACCUGAUGACAUUUUGUUCUCUUGGCUCUGUGUCUCUCCUGAAUGACAAUAAUCACAAGUGUCUUAGAGUUAUUGUUCCCAGAUGAAACUGAGGGAGAGAUUUCAAUAACACCUGAAUUGCAAUGACUAGAGAAGUGGUCUCUUCCCUGGCUCUGUCAUCAUUUCUUCUCUUCUCUCAUUUGGACUCCAACAAUGACCUUCUUUCUGAUCUUCCUCUUGGUAUCACCUGGACUUCUAAUAGCCUGCUGAGUGGUCACCAUGCUGACUCUCUAUGCUAAAAGUAUUUUGUGCCCUAAACCUUAUUCCAUUUUUCUUUUAACUCAUAUCUAUAGUUCCCUCUUACCUGUGAACAGAUGGGCUACUAUGGUGAGAAGGCAAAAGGCACUGGGCACCUAAGUGGAGUGUCACCACUGUCACUCUGUAUUUCUGCAGCUCUUUUUCUUUCUGCCACAUGAGAGGCCUGAGCUGGUUGAGUUCUGAGGGUCACUGUGGCUCUCCAGGCCUUAGAGGCUCAGGGACUCCCUGAGGGACAGCAGACAAAUGGUAAGGGACAUCUGCAUGAAACAGGCUGGAGAAGAGAAGACAGGAGUGGAUGCCAGUGGCAGAACAGUGGCAGGGUAUUAGUUUCUUCUGAUCUUUGGAAAGAAAUUCUUUCUCCUCUUCCUUUAGGUUUUGGAAAGCAAAAUCCUAUGAGAAGAAGCACCCGAGGAGAUGGACACAAUUUAAGAUGAGCCACAGCUGCUUGACAAUGUGGCUCUUUUCCUGGGGUAGUGACACACCCUUCCUCACUUGCUUUUUACUCUCCAUCUUUGGGGGUGGCAAGAGCAGAAGGACCCUUCAAACCUCCCACGUUAUCCUGCCUUACAGGACAGGGUGGCCACACAGAGGGGAUGAUCCCGUAUCUCCACAAUGAUUAGAAGGGUGAAGAUGAUUCUAUUACCAGUAAUAGUAUGUUGUGAAUAUCCCAUCUCCACCUGUUAAUUAGGGCCACCCCCUCCUCUUUUCUACUGAAUGUGAAGCAGUACUGUAACUGCGGCAUUUAGCGGGUGAUGCUGUUUAUUAUACGUGGUAUUUCAGUGGUUUGUGUGGGAGAAAGAAUUAAUUAUAGCUCUCUGGCUCCAACCCUUUCCCAACCCCCAGCCUUGUCCUCUUUCCCUCUCCCUGAUAUAGAAAGCCAUAUGCGUAUAAAUAGGCAGAGUAAACAGAGUGCAGAUUUGCUGAGGGGGAGCAGGGCAUCCUGGGGCCAGCACUGAGCUAGCAAUUCAGGCUGAGGUUUGGAAGAGAAGCUUUGGGGAGACACUGAGGGUCAUUGUGCCUCAGCUCCCCCAUCCUGAGAAGUGUGUAAGGAAAUUUAGAACAGUGAACUGCUGGAAACUUUGCAAUGCUGUCAAGAUGUAUGGUUCCAUUCUUCAGAAAUGUUCAUGCUUCUGUGAAACCCUUCUGGAGUAUGUCUGAAGCCAGGUGUCUUUGGGAGGCUAAGACAGAAGGAUCACAAGUUCAAGG
ensembl:lincRNA